rnacentral:rRNA from 1 species
GACCUCGCACAAGCGGUGGAUCAUGUUGUUUAAUUCGACGAUACGCGAAGAACCUUACCAGGCCUUGACAUACCGAGCAAAGCUAUGGAAACAUAGUGGAGGUUAACUGGGAUACAGGUGGUGCAUGGUUGUCGUCAGCUCGUGUCGUGAGAUGUUGGGUUAAGUCCCGCAACGAGCGCAACUCUUAUCGCUAUUUGCCAUCAUUAAGUUGGGGACUAUAGCGAGACUGCCAGUGACAAACUGGAGGAAGGUGGGAAUGACGUCAAAUCAUCAUGCCCCUUAUGGUCUGGGCUACAAACGUGAUACAAUGGUUGGUACAAAGGGAGGCAAAGUCGUGAGGCCAAGCGAACCCCAUAAAACCAAUCUCAGUUCGGAUUGAAGUCUGCAACUCGACUUCAUGAAGUCGGAAUCGCUAGUAAUCGUAGAUCAGAACGCUACGGUGAAUACGUUCUCGAGGUUU